UCGAUUCAACGGUUCUCGUCGGACGUGUGACCGCGCGACUUGUUACGAUCGUUGCUUAAUUUAUUCUGUUUGCUUUUAAAUUUCAUGCACCCUCCUCCCUCGUCACUAAACCAAACCUAGUGACUUGUAUUUGUUUCCCCGUUGUUCUCCGGCUGACUUUGAUAUAUUAGUUCUUUGCUAUUUCUGUAUUCUUCGGUUCGACGUGUAGAUCCUGUGGGUUUGUUCGAUCUCGCGAGUGCGCAAUGAACGAGAAGAUUAGUUGGUGUUCUACAAUACCUAAACAUGGCGUCGAUCGAUCGUUGCUUGGAUGGUGAAACUGAAUGCUGACUGUGAGUCGUAGCAGGCUAUGAAAGGGUAGAAUGCCAGGAUAAUUGAUAACUGCCGCGUCAUAGUCGGCAUUGAGGAUGUAUCGGCGCAGAACGUCAUGCAGGUUGGGAAAGUGACCACUGAAGUCAAUUACCUGUGCAAGAGUUGGACUGGGCUGCGUAUUCUUUGAUCAGAAGUCCUUCACUGGAUACUUCAGAAGCCGACGGAAAAGAAGUCAUUAUUAAAUGCCGCAGAUGGAUUGCAAUGGUAAAGUGGUUUCCUUUUGUUGCCUACUGUGAUGUAUCUUCAGAAAGAGUGAUCGUUACCAAUGUACCCGUAAAAGAUAGUUAUAGAAUGUCUCCUGUAUACAGAUCACAGACCAAUAGACGUCGAUAGUGCAUUUUUAACAUUGCGUGGUGGAUGAAUUUUAAAUAUUCGCCGUCGGCCUACUUCGACGGUGCAUGAAGAAGAAACAAAAAAAGAGUUAUUCCAUUUUCUGCCGCUGCGCCACCGAUUGUAUACAACAGUCGUCUGGAAACCAGUCCUGGGGUUACUGCGAUCAGUGAUCUUUCCUUGUAGAAGAAGAAAUUUCUGCUCCCAACAACAAAGGUGAGCACGAUCGGGAGAAUGUGUUGGUUUGCCGCCGCCGCGUGAUCGGCGGCUGAAUUUGUGUGCGUGUUGUGGCGAAGGCGGUGUACGUUUUCAAUGAAGAAUUGCCCUCCAAGCGGAAUAAAUACCAAUUGCGCAAAAUAACAUCGGUUUAGGUUCCUUCGAGGAAAGGUAAGCCCCCUGAAGUCGUGAAUGCCGUGCUUGAGAAGAAUACAAUUCGCGAUCGGGGCAGAAACGAAGUGCAACAACAGAAGAGUGGAAAAAAUAAUCCGGCUUUCUUUGGUCCUCGGCGCGUAAGUGAAGUUGAAGCCGAGGACAACGGCGACAACGACAAACAACACCCAUUUGGUGCAACAGUUUGUUCUUUGCGGGCUUUACAGCUGAAAGUAGAGGAGGGCAGAGACCGCGCGAAUAAGAAAUUCAUGUGAGUUCAACGAAGGUGCAAGCGGUGAACAACGAACGUGACUGUGCUAGAAGAUUGUACAGCUCGAGGGAUAUUGCAGAAGGCAUUCGAGAGGGAAGUGCCGCAUGUUGAAGGUAUUAACCACGUAGCUGAGUCUUACAGUGUUGGAUACCUCUUGGUUGGAAUGCUCGGCUGUGCUGUCUUUUUGAAACAAAGAUCGAAAUCAAUAGACCAUGUGAAACAGGACAAAUACCCCUAGACAUGCAUAAUGAGUCUACAGUACAAUCGACGAGGGACAAACCGCUCCCCAACAGCGUAC